rnacentral:misc_RNA from 1 species
AAUAUUUAUUUAUUAAUUAUAUUAGUAUGCUAAAUAUAAAAAAUUGUCUGCAGCAUAGCGCGGGUCAUGAAGCUUAUAAAAUCGGAGGAAACAAAUCAGGAUUGAAAUUCAACUUCCAGGAGAUUUCGUGUAAGAAACCCAUUGCCAAGGAAAAACGCAGUCAAUGGAGACUUGGAUACACUGAACAGAUAAAGGAUCCUCGUGACUUUUUCACAGUAAGAUUCGGAAAUGUAGAAUUUCUUGUGUGUCGAGAUGAUGAUGGCAAGGUUCAUGCGUUUCACAAUGUGUGCCGCCAUCAUGGCUCUCUUCUUGCAUCGGGAAGUGGGAAAAAGUCUUGCUUUGUAUGCCCUUACCAUGCUUGGACUUAUGGUUUGGAUGGAGAACUUCUUAAACAACAAGAAUAACAGGAAUGCAAAAUUUCAAUGUAAAUGUUUGCUGAAAUGUUAGAGUAGUAAUCAUUUUCCAUUAAUAUAUGGCAAAUUAAUGAUCAAUGGAUAAUUUAGUUAAUUUCUGUUGCUUGGAGCAUAGGAGUUUGGGCUUGUUCCACUAAAUGUAGCCACUUGGAGGCCAUUUGUUCUUCUCAAUGUGGGCAAAGAGAAUUCACCUUAUCAGGAAGUUGAUGGCAAUAUGGUGGAAAAUGAAUGGCUUGGUAGCUGUUCUGAUACACUGAAAACCAAUGGAGUUGAUUUUUCUUUGAGUUAUGUUUGUAGAUGUGUAUACAAUAUUGAAUGUAACUGGAAGGUAAGAUGCUUCAAUAUAAGUGUACUACUGAAUUUUGGCAUUUGAUUUUAAUAGCAAUAAUUUUAGACAGGAGCCCAUUUAUGCAAGGUGAAUGAGGUCCCUUUCAGUUCUCUGUAUGUUUUCUCGCGGUGAAUUAAUCCAUAUAUUCAUCAUCAUCCUUGGCAAUGAGCUCACUCUACAGUAGACUUAAGACACUGAAACCAAUAUCCAUUAAUUGCAUUGUGUGACUUGAUUUCAUGGACCGCUAAUUCCCCUUCUUCCUUUUCAGAUGUUUUGCGACAACUAAUUAGAUGGUGGCUACCAUGUUCCAUAUGCACAUAAAGAUUUGGCAUCUGGUUUGAAGCUUGAUUCUUACUCCACCAUAAUAUACGAAAAGGUCAGUAUCCAAAGAUGUGAAGGUGGCUCAGCUGGAAGUGAAGAUGAUUUUGGUCGGCUUGGAUCAAAAGUUUUAUAUGCUUUCAUUUAUCCUAAUUUCAUGAUUAACAGAUAUGGGCCUUGGAUGGAUACCAACCUUGUGCUGCCUCUCGGACCCAGAAAAUGCCAAGUGAUAUUUGACUACUUUAUUGAGGCUUAUCACAAGGAUGACAAAGCUUUCAUUGAAAGGAGUCUAGUAGAUAGUGAAAGAGUACAGAUGGAGGAUAUUAAGCUUUGUGAAGGCGUUCAGAGUGGUCUUGAAUCUCCAGAAUAUUGUAGCGGUAGAUAUGCUCCCACAGUUGAGAAAGCUAUGCAUCAUUUCCACCAAUUGCUUCAUGAUAAUCUUAAAAUCACUGGGAUUCUAAAAAAUCUGAACAACAUUUGGAUAGACUAAAUAUUGCAAGAGUGCUUAUAUCAACCUCAUCUCUGAAUAUAUAUGGGAAACUCUAAAUUUCCUAUGAUGGCUAUUGAAGACAAUUGCAGUGAAGCUCUCAUCGCCUUUAAUAUGUCACCAAUGGUGAGUUCCUCGAGCGAGAGUUCAUUCCCUGAAACAGAUCUCAUCAAUGGCAGUACUCAAGAAGAACGAGUCUGAUAUUUCGAGUCACCAAGUGAGUGAGGCCAAAUCAUCUGAUUCUUUAUUAACGGGAGAUUGUUUUGAGGCUUCCAAGAGUGGAG